AUGAGGCACAGAUGGGGUACGGUAGGGCGCAGGUGAGGCAUAGAUGUGGCACAAGGGAGAAAGAUGUGGCACAGGCAGGCACAGGCGAGGCAUAGAUGUAGCACAGACAGAGCACAGGGGAGGCACAGAUGUGGCACAGGCAGGCAUAAAUGAGGCACAGAUGGGGUACGGUAGGGCGCAGGUGAGGCAUAGAUGUGGCACAGAUGAGGUACAGGCAGGCACAGGUGAGGCAUAUAUGUGGCACAGGCAGGCACAGGUGAGGUAUAGGCAGGCACAGUUAGGGCACAGGCAGGCACAGGUGAAGCAUAGGUGAGGUACAGGCAGGCACAGAUAGGGCACAGGGGAGGCACAGAUGAGGCACAGGCAGGCACAGGUGAGGCAUAUAUGUAGCACAAGGGAGAAAGAUGUGGCACAGGCAGGCACAGGCGAGGCAUAGAUGUAGUGCAGGCAGAGCACAGGGGAGGCACAGAUAUGGCACAGAUGAGGCACAGGCAGGCACAGGUAGAGCCAGGGGAGGCACAGAUAUGGCACAGAUGAGGCAUAGAUGUAGCACAGGCAGAGCACAGGUGAGGCACAGAUGUGGCACAGGCAGGCAUAAAUGAGGCAUAGAUGUAGCACAGGUAGGGCACAGGCAGGGCACAGGUUCUUUGGAGAUAAGCUACUUCCUGGGCUGGCCCCAGUGGUGCUCAAAGGGGCUUGAAGGGAGGAGGCUCCGAACCCUCCCCAGAAGCUCUGCCCGCCUUGUGGGGAGGCCGGAGGAUCCAAACAGUGCCUCUGGGCCUC